AAACUUAAGACACACUGACCUCAGGGACUCCUGGUAUGACUCACUGAAAAGGACUUUUGAGGUAUUUUGACCAAAAACACACAACCUCAAUCUAAUUAUGAGACAACAUCAGACAAACCGAAGUAGAGACAAAUUCAACAAAAUAUCUGACCAGUGCUCAUCAAAACAUCAAGGUCAUGAGAAGCAAAGACUAAAGAACUGUCACGAUUGGAAGAGACUAAGGAGACAGGACAAUUCAAGGUAAGGUUGGGCUCUGGAACAGAAAAAGGACAUUAGUAAGAAGAAUCUGAAUAAAGUCUGUAGUUUCAUUUUCAAAACAAAACAAAACAGUUAUUCUUGGCCUCCACUACUGCCUUCAAUUCUGCUUCAGUCUGUCUGGGAAAUCUGUAUUUUCUUUUGAAAGCUCCACAGGGAUUCACUCAGUGAUGAGUCAGAUGUGGGCAUCAUCGUCCUUGGGGCUCACUUCUCACCCCCGGUGCACGUUGCAGUCACUGAGGUGCUUGGGGAAUCCUCAUGAUCAGGCCACCCCAUCUGCAGAUUCUACUGCAAGUACUUUUGAAAGCCUCCAAAUGAUCCCAGAAUGUAGCACAUCUCAAGCUGUGCCUCAGGACCACAGCUGAUGACUCCCAGAAUGUCCUGACUGCAAGGAACAUGUACUAUGGACCCAUCAGAAGUGAGCUCAUUUUCUAAACAUCUGUGUUGCCAACAGGCACACACCUAAAGUUUCCUCCUAUGGCCACCUGUGGAUCACCCUGACCUUCAAAGCUGGUAGCCAAAGUUCUGCUUCCACCCCCACCAUCUGCAAGGUGGCACUUUUCAGUCUUGAUGGAUAAAUGUUAAAAAUCACAACCAACAAUUCUUAAUCAUCCCUAUGAUUUUCAAAGGAAAACGCUACUGUAUUGUCAAACUUUUUCUCUACAGGCUAAAAUAAAAAUAAAUGACUACUGAAAAAA